CAACACUGAGAUCAAGCCUGAAAACAAGGAGGAGAUGCAGGAAAUGUUGCGAUGGGAGGCAGAGAAGAAGAAGAUGAUGGAGAAGAGAUGCAGAGAGGAGGCUGCAGAAAAGGAGCACAAGGAAGAGGAGGAAAGGAGACGUGUUGCUGCGUACAGGGAGGAGAGGGAGAAGAAGCUUGAGCAUGCACGCUAAGCAAAAGCAGCGAUGGAGGA
rnacentral:lncRNA from 1 species